rnacentral:lncRNA from 1 species
AUGCUUAACACCCCAGCCAUCCUACAAUCUAAACUUGAUGCCCUCAAUCUCACACAAAUUAUCAAUGAACCUACCAGGUACCUCCCCAAAGCCUUAAACACGGGCACCCUCAUAGAUAUCAUCCUAACCAACUUCCCCUCUAAAUACACCUCUGCUGUCUUCAACCAAGAUCUCAGCGAUCACUGCCUCAUUGCCUGCAUCCGUAAUGGGUCAGCGGUCAAACGACCUCCUCUAAUCACUGUAAAACGCUCCCUGAAACACUUCAGCGAGCAGGCCUUUCUAAUCGACCUGGCCGGGGUAUCCUGGAAGGAUAUUGACCUCAUCCCGUCAGUAGAGGAUGCCUGGAUAUUUUUAAAAAAUGCCUUCCUAACCAUCUUAAAUAAACAUGCCCCAUUCAAGAAAUUUAGAACCAGGAACAGAUAUUGCCCUUGGUUCUCCCCAGACCUGACUGCCCUUAACCAACACAAAAACAUCCUAUGGCGUUCUGCAUUAGCAUCGAACAGCCCCUGUGAUAUGCAGCUGUUCAGGGAAGCUAGAAACCAUUAUACACAGGCAGUUAGAAAAGCCAAGGCUAGCUUUUUCAAGCAGAAAUUUGCUUCUUGCAACACUAACUCAAAAAAGUUCUGGGACACUGUAAAGUCCAUGGAGAAUGAGAACACCUCCUCCCAGCUGCCCACUGCACUGAAGAUAGGAAACACUGUCACCACUGAUAAAUCCACCAUAAUUGAACAUUUCAAUAAGCAUUUUUCUACUGCUGGCCAUGCUUUCCACCUGACUACUCCUACCCCUGUAAACAGCACUGCAACCCCAACAGCAACUCGCCCAAGCCUUCCCCAUUUCUCCUUCUCCCAAAUCCAUUCAGCUGAUGUUCUGAAAGAGCUGCAAAAUCUGGACCCCUACAAAUCAGCCGGGCUAGACAAUCUGGACCCUUUCUUUCUAAAAUUAUCUGCCGAAAUUGUUGCCACCCCUAUUACUAGCCUGUUCAACCUCUCUUUCGUGUCGUCUGAGAUUCCCAAAGAUUGGAAAGCAGCUGCGGUCAUCCCCCUCUUCAAUGGGGGGGACACUCUUGACCCAAACUGCUACAGACCUAUAUCUAUCCUACCAUGCCUUUCUAAGGUCUUCGAAAGCCAAGUCAACAAACAGAUUACCGACCAUUUCGAAUCUCACCAUACCUUCUCUGCUAUGCAAUCUGGUUUCAGAGCUGGUCAUGGGUGCACCUCAGCCACGCUCAAGGUCCUAAACGAUAUCUUAACCGCCAUCGAUAAGAAACAUUACUGUGCAUCCGUAUUCAUUGAUCUGGCCAAGGCUUUCGACUCUGUCAAUCACCACAUCCUCAUCGGCAGACUCAACAGCCUUGGUUUCUCAAAUGAUUGCCUCGCCUGGUUCACCAACUACUUCUCUGAUAGAGUUCAGUGUGUCAAAUCUGAGGGUCUGUUGUCCGGACCUCUGGCAGUCUUUAUGGGGGUGCCACAGGGUUCAAUUCUUGGACGACUCUCUUCUCUGUAUACAUCAAUGAGGUCGCUCUUGCUGCUGGUGAGUCUCUGA